rnacentral:rRNA from 1 species
AACGAACGCUGGCGGCAGGCUUAACACAAGCAAGUCGAACGCCCCGCAAGGGGAGUGGCAGACGGGUGAGUAACGCGUGGGAAUCUACCCAGUUCUACGGAACAACUGAGGGAAACUUCAGCUAAUACCGUAUACGCCCUACGGGGGAAAGAUUUAUGGGAAUUGGAUGAGCCCGCGUAAGAUUAGCUAGUUGGUGGGGUAAAGGCCUACCAAGGCGACGAUCUUUAGCUGGUAUGAGAGGAUGAUCAGCCACACUGGGACUGAGACACGGCCCAGACUCCUACGGGAGGCAGCAGUGGGGAAUAUUGGACAAUGGGCGCAAGCCUGAUCCAGCCAUGCCGCGUGAGUGAUGAAGGCCUUAGGGUUGUAAAGCUCUUUCAGUGGGGACGAUAAUGACGGUACCCACAGAAGAAGCCCCGGCUAACUUCGUGCCAGCCGCCGCAGUAA